rnacentral:lncRNA from 1 species
GCAGAGCUUUCCACAAACCACUCCAGCAAAUAAAGUCUCCUCUCUGAGUGCCUAAUCUUCUCCCGGUAAGCAGAAAGAGAGUGGGGCAUAAACUGCUUUCUUCCACCGCUGCCCCCAGAGGACCCCACAGUCCCACUCACGUGGCCCGUGGAGAGACCGAAACGAGACAAAUGAUACCUUGGCGAUGACUGGAGAAUCUUACGCAGAGAAAUUUAUUACGUUUUGGAAAAGUUCCGGGCAGUGGUUUUUAUCAUUAGAUCCUUUAUGCUCUUCAAGUUGCAUAAGACGCUCUGACUUCUUUUUCUUGUCGAAGCAUAACUUCCAGGUCAGCUUUAGCUGUUCAGGUGGGCAAGCCACAGCUUUUUGCUGUUGGAGGAGGUGAGGCUGACAGAAAGAGAAGAUAACCCUUAUAGUGGAGGACCUGGAAGAGAUCAUCCUCUGGAGUCAGGCAGUGAACGGUACAUGAUUAUAUCUUUUAGACACUUGUCACCUCAGAAUGCCUACCAGUUAUCAGGAACUAUGAACAUAUUCUUCUUGUACUGCUGGGGAAAACUCAGAUCUGUGACAGAAUUCCUUCCAUUGUCUCGAGAGCAAAUGCAGCAACAACUCACAUUUAUUGAGCACUUACUCAUCUAGACGCUUUACCUCAUUUUGUCUUCACCACCUUCUCAGGAAGGUACUACUGCCAGCCCCAUUUUACAGAGAAGAAAAGUUGAGACAGACUUGGAAAUGAUAUCAGAUAAACAUCAGAAGGCUGAAGCUUGAGUUCAGUUUUGCCACUUACUAACUAAAUGGACUCAUUUUCCUCAUCUGUGAAAUGAGAAAAAGAACGUCUAUUACGUAGGAUGGCGAGAG